rnacentral:tRNA from 1 species
GACGCCGACCGACGGGUCGGCCGGCCGGCUGCAACCCGGCCCGCGUGGGUUCGACUCCCGCCGGCGUCUC